rnacentral:rRNA from 1 species
GGACCAUCAUGUCGGUCGCGCCUCGGUACGUACUGGUGUUGCUGGUUUCUCCCUUCUGACGAACCAUGAUGUCAUUUAUUUGGUGCUGUGGGGAAUCAGGACUGUUACUUUGAAAAAUUAGAGUGUUUAAAGCAGGCUCACGCUUGAAUACAUUAGCAUGGAAUAAUGAAAUAGGACGUUUGAUCCUAUUUUGUUGGUUUCUAGGAUUGACGUA